GUAAUUUCUGGCGUCCGUGUUAGACUGGGUCGAGUGCCUAUUCGAAAAAUGGCCGCCAAAGUUGAAAAAGACAAGUGCGCGCAAAUAAUUUCUCAAAACCUUCAAUUAGACGAGAAUGUAGUGUCCAGAAUUCUGGUGCUGCUGGAUAACGACAACACCAUCCCUUUCAUUGCUCGCUAUCGGAAAGAGCAUAGCGGGGGACUAGACCCGGCCGUGCUUAGACACAUUGACGGACAGUACCAACUCCUGAACAAUUUCUCCAACUACAGAUUCCGCUUCUCCAUGCCGGGCAACACAGAAAGUCUUUAUUACAGUGCAGAUAUAUUGUUACUUGGCUUGCAGUUAUUGAAAGUUAUUGAAAUAAAUUUGGAAAGGAGGCAGCAGCCCCUGAAAACCGCACCCUUUGCCCGUAGAUCUUUCUGAUGGGUCAUCGUCCCAUGUACUGCUCCAAUACAGACCAUGACGACUGUACCAUGCAUGAGAGUCGAGUUUGGACAGGAAUUCCAGAGCUUAACAAACCAGGACUAGAGGAUAUACUCUACAAAUAUGGUGCUGAUGUCCUUAUAUGGGCUCAUGAGCAUUCCUAUGAGAAACUCUUUCCUGUGUAUAAUCGACAGGAUCUACUGUGAGUAUGUCACCCUACACCAACCCUUGUGCACCCAUCCAUCCAUAUCAUCACAGGAUCUGCUAAAAUGGUUGUGGAUAGUACCUGGCUGAUAAAAGACAGACAUGAGUCAUAUUUCAAGGCCCACCAUUAACUCUCCCAGGGACUCUGCUUAUACUUAACAAUUUAUCACAUCUUAACAGGGUUUGGGGGGGGGGCGUAAAUUGAUUAUUUCAUCAUUUAGGUAGCCUAUGUACAGCCGGAAAAGGUUCCAUUAGAACCAUUUUGUGGCUGCAUGCAGGCUACAUUUAAGGGGUCUGAAAUUUUUAUGUGAUUUUUCAGGCAGUUUGAAUAACAUGUUUUACUUGAAAUAAAGUCAUGUAACUGCUCCAUCUA